AGUGAACGCUGGCGGUAGGCCUAACACAUGCAAGUCGAACGGCAGCACAGUAAGAGCUUGCUCUUACGGGUGGCGAGUGGCGGACGGGUGAGGAAUAUAUCGGAAUCUACUUUUUCGUGGGGGAUAACGUAGGGAAACUUACGCUAAUACCGCAUACGACCUACGGGUGAAAGCAGGGGAUCUUCGGACCUUGCGCGAUUGAAUGAGCCGAUGUCGGAUUAGCUAGUUGGCGGGGUAAAGGCCCACCAGGGCGACGAUCCGUAGCUGGUCUGAGAGGAUGAUCAGCCACACUGGAACGUGGACACGGACCAGGCUCCUACGGGAGGGAGCAGUGGGGAACAUUGGACAAUGGGCGCAAGCCUGAUCCAGCCAUACCGCGUGGGUGAAGAAGGCCUUCGGUUUGUAAAGCCCUUUUGUUGGGAAAGAAAAGCAGCAGGUUAAUACCCCGCUGUUCUGACGGUACCCAAAGAAUAAGCACCGGCUAACUUCGUG
rnacentral:rRNA from 1 species